rnacentral:rRNA from 1 species
AGAGUUUGAUCCUGGAUCAGGAUGAACGCUGGCGGCGUGUUUAACACAUGCAAGUCGAGCGAGAAGCUUCUCGGUGGAUUCUUCGGAUGGGACAGAGAUGCGGAAAGCGGCGGACGGGUGAGUAACGCGUAGGCAACCUGCCCCAUGCAGAGGGAUAACCUCGGGAAACCGGGAUUAAAACCUCAUAAUGCGGCACCGGGACAUCUCGGAGCCGCCAAAGAUUUAUCGGCAGGGAUGGGCCUGCGUCUGAUUAGUUACUUGGUGGGGUAACGGCCUACCAAGGCGACGAUCAGUACCCGACCUGAGAGGGUGAUCGGCCACAUUGGAACUGAGACACGGUCCAAACUCCUACGGGAGGCAGCAGUGGAGAAUCUUGCACAAUGGGCGAAAGCCUGAUGCAGCAACGCCGCGUGAAGGAUGAAGGCCCUUGGGUCGUAAACUUCUGUUCUAAGGGAAGAUAGUGACGGUACCUUAGGAGCAAGCCCCGGCUAACUACGUGCCAGCAGCCGCGGUAAUACGUAGGGGGCGAGCGUUAUCCGGAAUUAUUGGGCGUAAAGAGUACGUAGGUGGUUCCUUAAGCGAGGGGUUUAAGGCAAUGGCUUAACCAUUGUUCGCCCCCCGAWCUGGGGGACUUGAGUGCUGGAGGGGAAAGCRGMAUUCCUAGUGUAGCGGUGAAAUGCGUAKAUAUUAGGAGGAACAYCAGUGGCGAAGGCGGCUUUCUGGACAGUAACUGACWCUGAGGUACGAAAGUGUGGGGAGCAAACAGGAUUAGAUACCCUGGKAGUCCACACCGUAAMCGAUGAGCACUAGGUGUUGGGUCCGCAAGGGCCCGGUGCCGCAGWUAACGCAUUAAGUGCUCCGCCUGGGGAGUACGUACGCAAGUAUGAAACUCAAAGGAAUCGACGGGGACCCACACAAGCAGCGGAGCAUGUGGUUUAAUUUGAAGCAACGCGAAGAGCCUUACCAGGACUUGACAUCCCUUUGACCGGCCUGAUAACGAGGCCCUUUCUUCGGACAGAGGUGACAGGUGGUGCAUGGUUGUCGUCAGAUCGUGUCGUGAGAUGUUGGGUUAAGUCCCGCAACGAGCGCAACCCUCGUCAUUAGUUGCCAGCAUUGAGUUGGUCACUUUAGUGAGACUGCCGGGGACAAGUCGGAGGAAGGUGGGGAUGACGUCAAAUCAUCAUACCCCUUAUGUUCUGGGCUACACACGUGCUACAAUGGUCGGUACAAAGAGUCGCGAGACCGCGAGGUGGAGCCAAUCUCAAAAUCCGAUCCCAGUUCGGAUUGCAGGCCGAAACCCGCCUGCACGAAGUCGGAGUUGCUAGUAAUCGUGGAUCAGAAUGCCACGGUGAAUGCGUUCCCGGGUCUUGUACACACCGCCCGUCACAUCAUGGAAGUUGGGGGCGCCCGAAGUUGGACAUUCAAUAGUUUACCUAAGGCGAAAUCAAUGACUGGGGUGAAGUCGUAACAAGGUAACC